rnacentral:rRNA from 1 species
UACGGAGGGUGCAAGCGUUGCUCGGAAUUAUUGGGCGUAAAGGGUAAGUAGGUGGUCUCGUUUGUCUGGGGUGAAAGCCUUGAGCUUAACUCAAGAAGUGCCCCAGAAACGGCGAGACUAGAGUCCUGGAGAGGGUCGUGGAAUUCCCGGUGUAGCGGUGAAAUGCGUAGAGAUCGGGAGGAACACCAGAGGCGAAAGCGGCGACCUGGACAGGUACUGACACUCAACUACGAAAGCGUGGGGAGCAAACAGG